UGGAAAGGACUGCUCAGAAAGAGAAGUGAGCUACCUGCAGUGUCCUCUGUUUUGUCGAUGAAGGAUUUUUAGAUUGGUAUGUGAUGAAGUACAACGAGCUGAUGCCUGCGUUGAUGGCUAUCUUCACCAAAAGUCGUGUUUGUUAUGAAGCACAACGAGCUGGUGCCUACGUUGAUGGCUAUAUUCACCAAAGGUCGUGUUUCAUAGAUCAGAAGGCACACCUACAACAAUGAGCAGUGCCAAGGAAUCUUAUGAUGUGAUAAUGGAAAAACGAAAGAAAAGCUUUUGUUAAAGUAUCUAUGAGUGAUAUCAUGAUAUGUCAAAAAUGUUGCAUGGAUACAUUGAUUCUUUAGUACUUGUUACGAGCUGCUAAGAGAGUCGUGUCAAGUUCAAUACUUUUCCUUGUCAUUUAACAUAAUUGCUUGUCUGUUUGGAU